rnacentral:rRNA from 1 species
CGUGUUACAAUGGCAGGUACAGAGGGAUGCUACCGGGCGACCGGAUGCGGAUCUCGAAAGCCUGUCCCAGUUCGGACUGGAGUCUGCAACCCGACUCCACGAAGUUGGAUUCGCUAGUAAUCGCGCAUCAGCCAUGGCGCGGUGAAUACGUUCCCGGGCCUUGUACACACCGCCCGUCAAGCCAUGGGAGCCGGGGGCGCCUGAAGUCCGGGACCGCGAGGACCGGCCUAGGGCGAAACUGGUAACUGGGGCUAAGUCGUAACAAGGUAAC